rnacentral:rRNA from 1 species
GAGUUUGAUCAUGGCUCAGGAUUAACGCUAGCGGCAGGCCUAAUACAUGCAAGUUGAACGGGAUUUCGGGUAGCAAUAUCUGAAUGAGAGUAGCGCACGGGUGCGUAACACGUAUGCAACCUACCUAUAACUGGGGGAUAGCCUCCCGAAAGGGAGAUUAAUACCGCAUAAUAUUAUUGAGUGGCAUCACUUGAUAAUUAAACCUCAGGGGGUUAUAGAUGGGCAUGCGUCCGAUUAGCUAGUUGGUGAGGUAAUGGCUCACCAAGGCUACGAUCGGUAGGGGUCUGAGAGGAUGAUCCCCACACUGGUACUGAGACACGGACCAGACUCCUACGGGAGGCAGCAGUAAGGAAUAUUGGACAAUGGGCGCAAGCCUGAUCCAGCCAUGCCGCGUGAAGGAUGAAGGCCCUAUGGGUCGUAAACUUCUUUUAAACGGGACGAAACCCCUCGACGUGUCGAGGGCUGACGGUACCGUAAGAAUAAGGGUCGGCUAACUUCGUGCCAGCCGCCGCCGUAAU